rnacentral:ncRNA from 1 species
GCGUAUUUUGCGAAGGCGGAGUUCGACCGCCUGUGGAAAAAAUAGUGCCCCUGGUGGAUACCCUGCGUGAUGAGCACGGGGUCGGACCGGUAUGCCACGAGCUGGAUAUCGCCCC